CGUUCUCGUUAGCUUUGUAGUAGUCCGCCGAGUAGAUGUUCCUGGAGAGGCCGAAGUCGGCGAUUUUCACCACCAUGUUCUCGCCCACCAGGCAGUUCCUGGUGGCCAGGUCCCGGUGCACGAACUUGCGCUCCGAGAGCAAUAAAGAGUAGUUACAGUAAGAAGCACAAAUAUUGCAAAGCUGGACAUGAUGGAGAUUAUUACAGUCAUGGAGUAUGUAGGUGAGACGGACAAGGAGGAAGAAGAAGAGGAAGGCAGAUUUGGAAUGUCCACACUUGGCUUUGAGGACGUCAUUGGUGGGAAUGCUGUGCAGUAAGGAAAUCUGAUGUCUAGGAAAGAAGGCAGACAGAAGUCUAACAUUUUGGAAAAUCGUGCUGAUCUCUUACAGCCUUGCAGUGAACAUUUGGAAGUGGCAGUUUUCUAGCUAAUUUCAUAUUUAGCAUGAAGCCAGGAUGAAUGAAAAAGAAAACAAGAAUGUCUGCCUUUCUAUGGAAGAAAUGCCUCUAUGUAGGUAAAGUGUUAUCUCUGCUGCAACAGUAAAAGCUAAGAAGGGGAAAAAACCAAUUUGAACACAAAGGCUCUAUGCAAGAAAUACCUCUAGGUAGGUGAAGUGUUAUCUCUGCACGCAACAGUAAAAGUUAAGAAAAAAAAAGAAAAAAGGAAAAGGGGAAAAAACAAUUUGAACAAAAAGGCUCUAUGGAAGAAAUACCUCUAGGUAGGUGAAGUGUUAUCUCUGCAUACAACAGUAAAAGUCAAGGAAAAGAAAAAAAGAAAAGAAAAAAAAAACAGGAAGAAAAUGCACCUUUUCUUUAGGGAGCAUGGGUGUAAUGGGUGCUUGAACAUCUUUGUCUGAUAACAAAUAUCUAGGCGAUCUUUGGGUUUGUAUUUGUUGCCUGUCUUCUCCUUUGAAGAGUGGUCAGAAUUUUCUUUUUCUCUUAAGUAAUUUGGGGUUGUUUCCUGGAUAUUUUGGACAUUACACUGUGACAUUCUGGGUCCUUGUAAAGUCCUCUGGAGAUGUCCGUUAUUUUUAUUUUGCUUUGUUUUGUUUUAGCAGGCCAUCAAUCCAGUUAGGUUUAGACUACAAGUUCUCUCUUUCUGUGGGUGGUGACCCGAAUAUAAGUUUCGUUUUCAAAGACUUUUCUGUGUUGCUUGGGUCUGCUUCGUCCAUGCCCUUUAGAGGGAUUAGUCAGGGCUGCUAGUGGUUUAUAUUGUCGUUCGGUUCUCAAAGCCAUGCUUCUCCGUGUCUGUUCCACUCACUUGUGGUUCAUGAAUGAGAACAACUUCCUCCUGGUCUACUCCCUGGGAUCUUCCCUACACUUUCUGCCCCUUGUGGUUCCUUUUCCAGGUCCUCUGAGUAGACAGCCAGAGUUUCUUUCAGAGUUGGAUCCCCCCCACUCUGUGUGCAGACUGCUACCAGGACUGCCCUCAGGAUGAAGAAGCAAGAGAAAAGAGAAAAUAAUAAUAAUGCUGAUUGCCUCCAUACUCUUUGGACCACAGAGGCCCUCUUCUUUGUUCUAUAGUCAAAGACAUGAGCUUUCUUUAUGGAUCCUAGUACCCAAAUUGCUGCUGCCGUGGCAAAUUGCCCUAAGAUUUAGGGCUUUACACAAGAAACAUUUAGUAUCUGACGUUUUCUGUAGCUUAGGAUGUUAAGUGUUGCUGAGCUGGGUUUUCUGGUGCAUAGCAUCUCACGAGGUUGCAGUUACGAUGCCGCCUAGGGCUACAGUCAUCUCCGGGCUGGGCGGUGGGAGGCCCUGCUUCGGAACAUACGGCCAUGGACAGGCUUCAGAAGUUCCACUCUGAAGGUCGCUACAUGGCUAUCGACAGGCUGCUGGUCCUUGCUGGCUGUUGGCCAGAGACCUGAGUUCCUUGCCACGCGGACCUCUCCAUAGGGCAUCCCGUAACUUCUCCUCAGAGCAAGUGAGGGAGAGAGUGAAAGAGCGUGAGCAAAAUGGAAAGCAGAGUCUUUUGUAACCUAAUCGUGAAAGUGACAUCCCAACACUUUAGCCAUAUUUUAUUUGUUGGAAGUAAGUCAUGAAGUGCAACCCACAUUCAAGGAGAAAGAAUUACAAAGGGCAUGAAUAUCAGGAGGGAGGGGUCUUCAGGGGCCAUUUCAGAAGUUGCCUACCACACUUUCCUCAACCAAAUGCCUGGUGUGCAUGAUCUUAAAGAGCAUAUUAUAUUUUCAGACCUUACCCAUGUAGCAUGGAAGAAUAUAAAAUACUGUCGCAUGUUUGGUUUUCUUUCUUUCCUGGCAAACAUAGAUUCCAUCUGGGUUCAAUAGAAAUUAAGGAUGUUGAAAAAUGCAAGACAGAUCUAGAAAGAGCCAAGGAUAUGGAAAAUAAAUGUGGGUAUGUUUGGUGCAUCAUUUUAAUGCUAGAAUCGUUUCCUAGUCUGAAUAUUGUUAGGCAAAUGAAGUAUAAGAAACAUCUGGCUAGAGGAAAACAAGGCACAGAUUAACAGGAUGAACAGAAGUUAGUGGAGUAUGUUAUUUCAUUUUAAACUGUUCAAGUUUGCAAACAUUGUAAGUCUGAGAUCAAAUCACAUUCCAUAAGGGAUAAAUUAAGCUACUGCAAAUUGGUCCUUUAUCAAGUAGUGAAAUAAGAGAAGUUCCUGUUUUUUAGACUUUACAUCAGCUUAAGACACAUUGAGUACAUUAACGCUCUUUGAAGGAUUAGAAUCCUUAGGAAUGAGGCUGGCAAGAUGAAGAAUAGCUAAGAUAUCUUUAAAAGUCACAGAUUUGCAGGGCACCUGGGUGGCUGAGUCCAUUAAGCAUGUAACUCUUGAUUUUGGCUCAGGUCACAAUCUCACAGUUUGUGGGAGUUCCAGCCGCACAUCGGGCUCUGCGCUGACAGUGUGGAGCCUGCUUGGGAUUCUCU